ensembl:miRNA Mir1971 microRNA 1971
GCAUCAUUUGGUAAAGGCUGGGCUGAGAGGACAUCUUUGUUCCAUGGACCCAGUAGAUAGGCAGCUUCUGCUUCCAGGAACAACUUGUCUGUUUUUCAGUCUAUCU